rnacentral:misc_RNA from 1 species
GAUGAAGAACGCAGCGAAAUGCGAUACUUGGUGUGAAUUGCAGAAUCCCGUGAACCAUCGAGUCUUUGAACGCAAGUUGCGCCCGAAGCCAUUAGGCCGAGGGCACGCCUGCCCGGGCGUCACACGUCGUUGCCCCCCCCAUCUACUCCUUCGGGAUUGCGGGGGGCGGAUGAUGGCCUCCCGUGCGCCUCGCCGCGCGGUUGGCAUAAAUGCCAAGUCCUCGGCGACGCACGCCACGACAAUCGGUGGUUGCGAAACCUCGGUUGCCCGUCGUGUGCGGUCGUCGCGCAUCGAGGGCUCGAAAAAAUUGCCGAGUUCCGGCUCGGCUUUCAACGCGACCCCAGGUCAGGCGGGGUUACCCGCUGAAUUUAAGCAUAUCAAUAAGCGGAGGA